rnacentral:rRNA from 1 species
UACGUAGGGUGCGAGCGUUGUCCGGAAUUAUUGGGCGUAAAGAGCUUGUAGGCGGUUUGUCGCGUCUGCCGUGAAAAUCCGAGGCUCAACCUCGGACUUGCGGUGGGUACGGGCAGACUAGAGUGUGGUAGGGGAGACUGGAAUUCCUGGUGUAGCGGUGAAAUGCGCAGAUAUCAGGAGGAACACCGAUGGCGAAGGCAGGUCUCUGGGCCACUACUGACGCUGAGAAGCGAGAGCAUGGGGAGCGAACAGG